rnacentral:miRNA from 1 species
ACUAGUGACAGAGGGAGGGGGUGACAGUGACAGAGUGAGGGAGGUGGUGACUGUCACUAGUCACCACCUCCCUCACUCUGUCCAUAGUCACCCCCUUCCU